AUGACUAAUAGUGGGAGCCCUGUAAAAGGGCAGCUGGGAAGAUUGUCACAAGCACAAGCGGGAGACAGGGGGCAGACAUCCAGAGGAAGUGGUUUUCCUGAAGGCUUGCUAAGAGCACCAGAGGUUCUGGGAACACUGAGGACGCCGUGGGAAGUCAAAUUCAGCCUGAUUUCCAUUGAAGGCCAUGUUGUUGUGGCUUCAAGACAAGGCUUGAAAGCUCUCCUGAACUUCGGGACACAGGUGCCAGGCUCCCAAACAACUGAGUCCACCUUCGAGGAUCAGAAGGGAAAGCAAGAGCAGAAGCACUUGGUCCGUUGCAAAGGGGAGGCUGCUGGCCUGGGGACAGAGAGGAGACACGACAAGUGCCGAGAACCAGAAUCAGAAAAUCAGCCAAAGACAGAACCAAAAGGCAAACGAGAACUUUUGCUUUCAGGAAAAAGAGGAGGAAGGUGCCAUCUCUCUGAUUUUCCAUUUCUUGUGGGAGCUGCUUUUAAAGAUUUGCAAAUUCUCUACAUCUGUGACCCUCAGACCUGUAGCUACCAAAGGAGGGGGAACAAAUUAGGAGAUCGGGAUUAACAUACAUAUAUACACUACUAUGUAUAAAAUUGAUAAUUAGUGAGAGCCAGCUGUACAGCACAGGGAACUCUACUCAAUGCUCUGUGGUGACCUAAAUGGGAAGGAAAUUUAAAAAAAAGAAUGAUAUGUGUAUACACAUAACUGAUUCACUUUGCUCUACAGCAAAAACACAGCAUUGUAAAGCAACUAUAUCCAAGAAUUUUUUUUAAAGAAAAUAUUAGCAAAUUAUCUACACUUAAUUAAAUGAAUGAUCUGAAAAACAAUAUACCACCUGACCUGAUACUGAUAAAGUUGCACAUUAGAGGGGAAGGAGAAGGAUGUAUAGGAUGGAUGUACAUGAAGGGCCUUAAAAGCUCUGCUUGAAGGACAAAAAUGUCCACAGAAUUCAGUUAUGGUAAAACUCAAAAAGAGUCAUGAAA
rnacentral:lncRNA from 1 species